CCACCUGUCUGGACCUCAGCCCGGCCACCUUCACCUGGACAGGCUCAUCGAACAAACAUCUGGCGCUUGGCAGCAGCAUCAGUCUGACUUGGGAGGACAUCUCUUCACAAACUAAUGAUCCUGUAACAAAGCAAACAGGAAUGAGAUGUAAGUUUGGUCCAUGAUGUCGUUUUAGAUUUGUCAUCUGCUCUGUGUGGGAGCUGGACUGCAGAGUCCAGUCGCUGAGGACCGCAAAGUAAUCAGGAUGAUCUGUUCAGGCGUAAUCGUGCAGCCGAGUGCGAGUCUUUCCUCCUCAGGAGACGGCAGUGAAACAGGAGUGACUCGCUGUUCAAAUCCACGUAAAGAGAAACAGAGUGCCAACGUGCUCGAAGGAGAAGGUCGCCAAAUGAAUCACAUCAACGGCUCCGCUUACCUGAAUCCACCUACAACUUCAUCUGUGAAGUGAGAGUUAGGUGGAGUUAGGAUGGAUCACAGCACGGAUGUAAAGGGACAAAAAUAAAGACCUUUCAAUAAUCUUAGCAUUUUAUGCACAAAAUCUGAUCGUAUCUGUCCUUGUCCAUUUCAAAUUAAAAGCCUUCCUGUGGAUAGAA